CCCACCCCACACACGCACCCCCAAGAAAACCACCCCGCCCGCAGUCCUCCCGUCGCCGCCGCCGUCCUCUCGAUCCCAUCGAUCCCAUCUAUCGUUGCCGCCGUCGAGGGGGAGCCGCCGCCGCCGGCGGCUCUGCAAGGCAGGGCGGUUUGAAUCCCGCAGCCGCCGAACUCCGGGAGAUGCCGUCGCCGCCUCUCCAGGGCAGGGCGGUUUCAGUCCCUGCCGCCGAACUCCGGAAGACGCCGCCACCACCGAACUCCAUGACCCAUGGCUGCCACACAUCUUCCUCCACGCACGGCCGCACCCCCACCCCUUUUUCUUCCCUCCCUACGGCCUUCAUCUCUACCCGUCCCACUCCUCGGCCUUCAAUGGUGAUCCGCUGCCUCCCGCUCCUCGUGCUCCGAUCUGACAACUGAUCCACCGCCGCGCCUCGGAUACGUCGCGACGCCUCGGAUACCGGCGACCGGCGGUGAUCUGAGACCAACGAGUCGGCACCACAUCCCUGAUCUUCAGAACACCGAGCGAAAUAUUGGCUUGGAACGAUCUUGGGUUGGCAGGACGGCCAGACCAGGUGGCAAAUGUGGUGCACGAGUCAACCUCACAUCAUACUGUGGUGUCUAGGAUGGGCGUGGUGUAACAUGACGCUUUCUAGAAGCAUGUUAUCGAACAUCUCCACAUAAUCCUGAGCUUGCCUAAUUCCCAAAGCAUGUUAUCAUAAGGAUGAGUACGGAGGACAACUCUCUCAAUUCCCAAAGCACUAAUCUUGUCCUAAUUGCUCAUAUAUUGAAUCACUUUUCGCUGCAAAUAUGUUUUCUGUUUGAUGAGCUAGAAGAUGCUUGGAGGCUAAGGACAAAGAGGAUCUGACGUACACGUUUUUGGGAGGCAAUAACUACUUUGUGCACUUUGGCGGUGGAUAUGGGUACACAUUCUUGAUGUCUCGAUGAAUUGGAGAACAGAUGUAAUGGUAUGUGCUCUAUGCAAGGACAUGAGAACAAUCCUCCAAAUUGAACUACGUGAUGGGAGAGUAGUUAGGAAACUUUGUUUGUGUACGGGUUGCUUUUCCUCUAUAUAGCGGGCGCUGGAAAUUUCAGUUGCGAUGAUAGCAAGGAUCAAGGAAAAGAGAACAAGGGUGGGGCUUAAACUUCAGUACGAGCGCUUGCCGUGGUUCUGCUAUGCAUGUGGCUACAUCGGGCAUCAGGUCAUGUCUUGUGCGCGUAAGUUCAGGUGGUGAACCUGUAUGCUGACGACUGCGAUGCUUACCACUGAGGAAGUUCGUGCAGCAAGCAGCAAGCACCUUGGACAAAUUUUGAAAAGAGGGGCACGACUCGGAGGUAUGAGCCCCAGCAAGGGCCAUCACAGCUGCGCUGACAAGCAAGUGUAAGUUGGUGAUGGUGCCACCGUGUAGAGUUCGGAGACUACCCUUGGAAGCACAAAUUGGACAAAGUGCCUUGUGCCACUGGUGUUUCAACACCAGGGAUGUGAUUUUGCUCUAUAGUUUGCAGUACAUUAGACAAUUUUGUAUGCUAUUCAGUAAUUAAUGCUAAAGUUUAUUCCUACAGCUUGUACAUGAACAGGUCCCUGUUUACCGAUGGCGAAAACUCAUCAUUGAUCCAGCUUACUCCUGCAAAUGUUGACCAACAGACAAUUCUCUUCAUGCCUUAUUCAUAACAUCAAAUUUCUCAACCUGAUGGCAUCUAUCAAGGAUCUCUAAAGCCGAUGGAUUAAAAUUGUGUUUUUCUCCUGUGUUCAGUAUACAUGGUUAUCUUCAUAGGCUAAUUUCACUUUUGAUAACUGAUGAUAAAGCGACAAUGGAAUCAGAAGGCCCAAAAAACUUCAUCAUUCAUUCUGCAAGCUGCCUAAAGAAAAAACAGCACCACUGAAACCAUCUCUGGUUCAUUAAUUGGUUCGGAUAAUCAAAUUAUUCAAUUGAAACAUGUGAGAAAUUAUUAUAAAAAGAAUCUGGAUGCAUCAUAUUAAAAGUGGAAUAGGGGCAGCGGCAUCGAUCCUUCGUAAUGACCAUCUGCUGGAAGGCGACGCGGUUGGCGAGAAUUUGCUUAGCUCUUUCGAUGACGCCACACGGGCAUUCGUGAAUUCCGAGUAAGCCGCGACCCGGUUUGACAGGGUGAGGGAUGCGGGAGUGGUUGAGAAUGAGGUGGCCCUGUCUAAGGGCACCCAGUAGACUGAGAAAGGAACAUUGUUUCUGUAAAAAAAUGAUAUUUAGACUUUCAGAGCACCCCCUGCACUACUUGAGAUUUAGAAGGUGGUAUGGCCGGCGGAUGCAUCCAUGUGCUAAUCAUCUGGCACCAAGCGGACGGAGCCGAACGAGUUGGGGCCACCAGCUGGCUGACAACACACACAUGGGCGAGCAUGAGCAACAUGAAGCUAGGGAGUAAGCUGGGAGUGGAUGGACGGGGCGUGAGGUAGAACAGGGGUGGGGAGCGGGCGGACCGUGGACAUAAGAGAACAACACCGGAAACAUCCUUUCUAAAGUUUUUUUGGGGCUGGAUUGACGAACAACUUGUUCAGUGAUACCAACCCCUUCGAGCUCCCUCAACCCUUCGACAACACUUAUUCAGUUUCUCACCACAAGUAGUAAGAGACAUGAUCAGAUCGCUAACCAGUGAUGAAGGCGUUAUGUGGUCGUUGACGUCAUGCUAAAUGUUGGUGUAGUGCCAAAUAAGAAUAUACGGAACAAAAUCCCUAAGCUAGACAUUAUGGUAUAAUGGAAAUUUGAGGAUGUAGGUGGAUGUGGGCGCUGUGGCCGCCACCAAGGAUGUAGGGGUCACGCCCCAAGCUGCAAGUACGUGGUAGGUGGUCAAAACUGACGAGGACAUGGGAGCCGCACUGCAGCAUGAGUGUUUUUCAUAAUUUAUUUAGGCCUAUGUACUGGAUGAUAUUUUCAUUGCUGGCAAUCUUCAUCAACCUAUCUACGAGGACAUUGAUAUACUAAUUGCUGCACAAGUGUUCUCAGCACCCGCUAACAAGAAGAGAGUAUGAUUGUUCAAUGCUCACUGUUGUAAGCUUGUUUCACGAGGAGCUUCUCAGUGUUGUACAUGUAGGGUGUGGAUAAUAUAAAUAAAAUCUAUUUGCUCAUUCUUUUACUGUACCUCCGAUUCGUCCCCCACGGUUUAGUAGAGUACAGUUAUGUGCUAAAGUAUUAGGAAGUCAUCAUCUUCUAAAACAUAUUGUUAUCUACUCAACCCAGUUAGCAAAUAAAGAGUGUGGUGAACUUAACACCUUUCUAUCUUUA